rnacentral:rRNA from 1 species
GACGAACGCUGGCGGCGUGCCUAAUACAUGCAAGUAGAACGCACAGUUUAUACCGUAGCUUGCUACACCAUAGACUGUGAGUUGCGAACGGGUGAGUAACGCGUAGGUAACCUGCCUGGUAGCGGGGGAUAACUAUUGGAAACGAUAGCUAAUACCGCAUAAUAUUGAUUAUUGCAUGAUAAUUGAUUGAAAGAUGCUAUUGCAUCACUACCAGAUGGACCUGCGUUGUAUUAGCUAGUAGGUGAGGUAACGGCUCACCUAGGCGACGAUACAUAGCCGACCUGAGAGGGUGAUCGGCCACACUGGGACUGAGACACGGCCCAGACUCCUACGGGAGGCAGCAGUAGGGAAUCUUCGGCAAUGGACGAAAGUCUGACCGAGCAACGCCGCGUGAGUGAAGAAGGUUUUCGGAUCGUAAAGCUCUGUUGUAAGAGAAGAACGGGUAUGAGAGUGGAAAGUUCACACUGUGACGGUAUCUGACCAGAAAGGGACGGCUAACUACGUG